GUGAUAGACCAGGGUCCCCUGAAAGAGGCCAUGCGAUCAGGUGUAGGAGGCCGCGAUCCACCAACUCGUGCGAGUUGCCAUCCGGAUCCCUCAGGAGAUUCGGGAAGGACGGAAUCAGGCGUGGGUAAUCCGCUGUCAGUUCCAGCAGCCGAGGGAACCAAGGCCGAGACCGCCAUAGUGGUGUGAUCAGUACCAACGAGCCGCCGUGUUGCGUCAGUUUCGACAGCGUGCGAGCUAUCAUAUUGAACGGGGGAAAAGCGUAGAGCCGAGUCUUCGGCCAAUCUUGAAGGAACGCAUCCGUUGC